CUACUAUAUUCUGAAUUGAAGUCUGCCCAGCCUGCUUGAACACCUGAGCCAUCUGAGAAAUUAGUUUAAGUUGGGAUGCUGAACAGUCUUUCUCAGCAAUGUGGCAGCAGGGCUGCUCCAUGCAGGGAGGGAGGCAGAAGCAAGGUGGACUGUGUCUAUGAGUUCGUGCUUCACUGCUGGUUCAAUCAGAGCUCUGAGUGUGUUACUGGACUUAUGAUGAAAUUUCAAGUAAAGGAUAGGAAUACCAUACUUCUUGCAGUACUGCCUGGAUUCAAGGCUGCUGAGUUCUCUGAAGUCAGUCCCACAAGACCAUUCUAAGCAUGGAAUAAUUAUGAUGCUAUCCUUGUCUUGAAGUCAGUGAUUAUUCCCCCUAGAAUCAAUAAAAAUCUGUGCUGCUUUACUUUGCA
rnacentral:lncRNA from 1 species